AUUGCCUCGCUGUAAACUUGAAAACACCAGUUCUCGUCCGAUCACCGAAGUUAUGUCGGGCCCUGUCAGUACUUGGGAGAGUGACCACCUGGGUACAAUGGGUGCUGUAGGCU